GUGGGAUUAUGUGGUAAUUGACUUUUUUUUUCAUAAACCUGUUAUGUUAUCCACUUGUUUGACUUUGUUUUUUAUGUUUAUAUUAGACAAGUGGCAAACAGCAUCAGCAAUGGAGGUUGGAAAGAAAAGACUGGGAGUGAUUUUGAGAACUUUCCUGUGCAAACAAACUCCAACCCCUGUGGCGUCUUCAUGCUUAUGUCUGCCCUCAGCAUUUGCACGGACACACCAUUUGACUUUACAGAAAGUGACAUGCCAGCCAUCCGCAGGUGGUGGUGU